rnacentral:rRNA from 1 species
UGUCUGGGAAACUGCCUGAUGGAGGGGGAUAACUACUGGAAACGGUAGCUAAUACCGCAUAACGUCGCAAGACCAAAGAGGGGGACCUUCGGGCCUCUUGCCAUCGGAUGUGCCCAGAUGGGAUUAGCUAGUUGGUGGGGUAACGGCUCACCUAGGCGACGAUCCCUAGCUGGUCUGAUAGGAUGACCAGCCACACUG